rnacentral:rRNA from 1 species
UACGUAGGGUGCAAGCGUUAAUCGGAAUUACUGGGCGUAAAGCGUGCGCAGGCGGUUUUGUAAGUCUGAUGUGAAAUCCCCCGGGCUCAACCUGGGAAUUGCAUUGGAGACUGCAAGGCUAGAAUCUGGCAGAGGGGGGUAGAAUUCCACGUGUAGCAGUGAAAUGCGUAGAUAUGUGGAGGAACACCGAUGGCGAAGGCAGCCCCCUGGGUCGAUACUGACGCUCAUGCACGAAAGCGUGGGGAGCAAACAGG